rnacentral:rRNA from 1 species
GGACUACAGGGGUUUCUAAUCCUGUUCGCUCCCCACGCUUUCGCUCCUCAGCGUCAGUAUCGGCCCAGAGACCCGCCUUCGCCACCGGUGUUCCUCCUGAUAUCUGCGCAUUUCACCGCUACACCAGGAAUUCCAGUCUCCCCUGCCGAACUCCAGUCAUGCCCGUAUCGACCGCAAGCUCAGGGUUAAGCCCCAAGUUUUCACGACCGACGCGACAGACCGCCUACGAGCUCUUUACGCCCAAUAAUUCCGGACAACGCUCGCACCCUACGUAUUACCGCGGCUGCUGGCAC